GCUUGGUGGAUCAGUGGCGAACGGGUGAGUAACACGUGAGCAACCUGCCCUGGACUCUGGGAUAAGCGCUGGAAACGGCGUCUAAUACUGGAUAUGAGACGUGAUCGCAUGGUCGUGUUUGGAAAGAUUUUUCGGUCUGGGAUGGGCUCGCGGCCUAUCAGCUUGUUGGUGAGGUAAUGGCUCACCAAGGCGUCGACGGGUAGCCGGCCUGAGAGGGUGACCGGCCACACUGGGACUGAGACACGGCCCAGACUCCUACGGGAGGCAGCAGUGGGGAAUAUUGCACAAUGGGCGAAAGCCUGAUGCAGCAACGCCGCGUGAGGGAUGACGGCCUUCGGGUUGUAAACCUCUUUUAGCAGGGAAGAAGCGAAAGUGACGGUACCUGCAGAAAAAGCGCCGGCUAACUACGUGCCAGCAGCCGCGGUAAUACGUAGGGCGCAAGCGUUAUCCGGAAUUAUUGGGCGUAAAGAGCUCGUAGGCGGUUUGUCGCGUCUGCUGUGAAAUCCCGAGGCUCAACCUCGGGCCUGCAGUGGGUACGGGCAGACUAGAGUGCGGUAGGGGAGAUUGGAAUUCCUGGUGUAGCGGUGGAAUGCGCAGAUAUCAGGAGGAACACCGAUGGCGAAGGCAGAUCUCUGGGCCGUAACUGACGCUGAGGAGCGAAAGGGUGGGGAGCAAACAGGCUUAGAUACCCUGGUAGUCCACCCCGUAAACGUUGGGAACUAGUUGUGGGGACCAUUCCACGGUUUCCGUGACGCAGCUAACGCAUUAAGUUCCCCGCCUGGGGAGUACGGCCGCAAGGCUAAAACUCAAAGGAAUUGACGGGGACCCGCACAAGCGGCGGAGCAUGCGGAUUAAUUCGAUGCAACGCGAAGAACCUUACCAAGGCUUGACAUAUACGAGAACGGGCCAGAAAUGGUCAACUCUUUGGACACUCGUAAACAGGUGGUGCAUGGUUGUCGUCAGCUCGUGUCGUGAGAUGUUGGGUUAAGUCCCGCAACGAGCGCAACCCUCGUUCUAUGUUGCCAGCACGUAAUGGUGGGAACUCAUGGGAUACUGCCGGGGUCAACUCGGAGGAAGGUGGGGAUGACGUCAAAUCAUCAUGCCCCUUAUGUCUUGGGCUUCACGCAUGCUACAAUGGCCGGUACAAAGGGCUGCAAUACCGUGAGGUGGAGCGAAUCCCAAAAAGCCGGUCCCAGUUCGGAUUGAGGUCUGCAACUCGACCUCA
rnacentral:rRNA from 1 species